AGAGCGAACGCUGGCGGCAGGCCUAACACAUGCAAGUCGAGCGAGGCCCUCUCUUCGGAGAGGUGCCCUAGCGGCGAACGGGUGAGUAACACGUGGGCAACCUGCCCCUAGCACUGGGAUAAGCCCGGGAAACCGGGUCUAAUACCGGAUAUGACCUUCAAGGGCAUCCUCGAAGGUGUAAAGGAUUCUGGCUAGGGAUGGGCCCGCGGCCUAUCAGCUUGUUGGUGGGGUAAUGGCCCACCAAGGCAACGACGGGUAGCCGGCCUGAGAGGGCGACCGGCCACACUGGGACUGAGACACGGCCCAGACUCCUACGGGAGGCAGCAGUGGGGAAUAUUGCACAAUGGGCGAAAGCCUGAUGCAGCGACGCCGCGUGAGGGAUGACGGCCUUCGGGUUGUAACCUCUUUCAGCUCCGACGAAGCGAAGUGACGGUAGGAGCAGAAGAAGCACCGGCCAACUACGUGCCAGCAGCCGCGGU
rnacentral:rRNA from 1 species